CGUGAGGAACCUGCCUUCCAGAGGGGGACAACAGUUGGAAACGACUGCUAAUACCGCAUGACACAUGACCGUGGCAUCACGGACAUGUCAAAGAUUUAUCGCUGGAAGAUGGCCUCGCGUCUGAUUAGCUAGUAGGCGGGGUAACGGCCCACCUAGGCGACGAUCAGUAGCCGGACUGAGAGGCUGACCGGCCACAUUGGGACUGAGAUACGGCCCAGACUCCUACGGAAGGCAGCAG
rnacentral:rRNA from 1 species